UCUCUCUCUCUCUCUCUCUUACACACACACUCCCUUUUGUUUCUCUCAAACCUCUCUUUGCCUCCGAUCUCCAGAGAACCUCUGUUUGCCUCGCUCGCUCUCCGAUCUCCAGAGAACCUCUCUUUGCCUCGCUCUCCGAUCUCCAGUUCUCUCUGUGUCUCCUUUCUUCCAGAAAACACUCAAGUUAGUGAAUUUUGUUCGGAUCUUUUUGUCGGGGGCUACAGAUGGCAACGCUCUCUUGCUGAAAAAUAGUGGUCUCGAUUUAAAGAAAAUUUGAAGCCCAUAAAAGAUCGUGUUUCCUGCUGCGGAUUUGGUGUGGUUUCAGGAGAUCGGGUUUUUCGAAUUUAUGACUUUUCUUUGAAGCCUGCGAAGACCUCUGUGUUUAAGGAAUUCUCGCCCAUCGUUGAGAUUUUCUGUAUGGGUUUUGGUUCUUUUGGAUUUGGAAGGAGAUGGAGAUCAGAGUUCGUUGCUAUCAUCUAUUCAACUUAAAUUUUUGGGGAUUUGGUUUGAAUUUCUGGGUAAGCAAGUGUCACCUUUGUUCAACUUAAAUUUAGUUUUUUUUUUUGUUUUUUUUUCCUCAAAUUUAUUUGAUGGCAUGAUUUUUUGAUCCUUACUAAAUAGUUGUUAAGAAAUGUUGAAAUUUUUAAUAGUUCUGAAUCUUCUGAAUUUGUUUUUGUGUUUUACUAUCAUGUCUCAUGCUUUCGAGUAUAAUUGGGUAAAUUUUCCCAAGAAAUGGGUAAUAAAUGGAAAGCUCAUAACAUGUAAUAGAAGAGAGUUAUCAAUGAUGAUAAUAAUAUUUUACUAUUAAGUACUUCAGUUGGACAUCUCACAAGACAUAAAAGCCCUGUAAGUUUUCUUCUUUUUCAAAGUGCAUGUCUUUUUGGUGAUUCUUUCAAUGCUUGGACAUCUGUUAAUUUUGUGUGAUAUUGCUUUGGAUGGUUGUUGGGUUUGAUUGGAUUGCACACUUAUUUAAAAAUGGAUAAUCAUUCUUCGAGUUAAUGGCGGAAUUGUAGGCUUGGCUUGAUUUUGCCUUUUAAGGGCCUCUAAAGUUGUAGGUUAUAAUUCAAAUUAUGGCUAUCUUGAAGCAUGUAUAAUUUUUGUUCUCUUUUAUGAAUUCAGAAUAGGCGUGUGUGUGCGCGCGCGCGCAUGUGUGAUUAAAGCAAUGAUGUUUUUGUUUGAAAUUUCGGAAGUGUUUGUUUUCCAGAUUUUUAAUCACUAAUCUGUUAGAAGCCAAAUGAUUCAUAUGCAAACAAAAUGUUUGGUGUGUAAACUUUAAAAGAAUUCAUUUUUAUGAAAAAGACAAAUAGGUAACUAUAAGAACCUACUUUGGUUAUAUUAACGGGGGAAUGCAACUAUAACAAUUCAUUAAAUGCGAUGAUAUAAUCUAAUAGUAUGGAUUCUUUUAAAGAUUUUUUGCGAUUAUUUUACAGUAAGUAUGUUGAGUAAUUUUCUGGAGAGUAAACCUUUUAGAUUUGAAUAUGCAAUAAUUAAUGCACUAGAAUGAUUCCUCUUUCAAUGGUGAUUUGUCUUUUGGACAUAUUCAUUGCAAGGACAAAUGAGAAGUAAUCGGAGGCUGUUGUACCUUACAUUAAGAGUGAACAGUUCAUUCUUUGCGAAGGACAAAACAGGAGACAAGGUUUUUUACUCCAUAUGGGACGGAGAGCUACACAACUUUUGCUACCGCAAUUGAUCGACAGAUAGUGAGCCAAAACAAAUCACAAAGGCAAACACACAACAGUUUGAUGAGGUGCUGUAAAAUUGCUGAAAAAGGUAACAAUACAAAAUCCUUAUUUUCUUCACGGUAUAAUUCUACUGUCAUAUAAAUUCAUUUCAUGUGUUUCAAUAUUUUUCUUUCCUUGCCUAGGCUGCUUUCUCAACAAUCAACAGUACUGGAGAAAACCUUUUAGCGUUGCAGUAAACUACUUUUCUCAUAUUUUGUUAUUCUAGAUAAUACAAUACAACUUCUGCAACUUUUGGUGUGUCUGCUGCAUAUACAAAAUCUUUCAUAUGUAAAAAUCAUCAUUUCCUUUUUAAUGUAAAUAAUAUUAAUCUUUUA